rnacentral:rRNA from 1 species
GACGUAGGGUGCAAGCGUUGUCCGGAUUUACUGGGCGUAAAGAGCUCGUAGGCGGUUUGUCGCGUCGACUGUGAAAACCCGAGGCUUAACCUCGGGCCUGCAGUCGAUACGGGCAGACUAGAGUUCGGUAGGGGAGACUGGAAUUCCUGGUGUAGCGGUGAAAUGCGCAGAUAUCAGGAGGAACACCGGUGGCGAAGGCGGGUCUCUGGGCCGAUACUGACGCUGAGGAGCGAAAGCGUGGGGAGCGAACAGG